rnacentral:rRNA from 1 species
UACGAAGGGGGCUAGCGUUGUUCGGAAUCACUGGGCGUAAAGCGCACGUAGGCGGAUCUUUAAGUCAGGGGUGAAAUCCCGAGGCUCAACCUCGGAACUGCCUUUGAUACUGGGGAUCUCGAGUCCGGGAGAGGUGAGUGGAACUGCGAGUGUAGAGGUGAAAUUCGUAGAUAUUCGCAAGAACACCAGUGGCGAAGGCGGCUCACUGGCCCGGAACUGACGCUGAGGUGCGAAAGCGUGGGGAGC